rnacentral:tRNA from 1 species
AGAGCACCUGACUCUUAAUCAGGGUGUCCAGGGUUCGAACCCCUGGAGGCGCA